UGGACAGCCAAGUUACUUCACAGUUUUGAGGUGAUUUUCCGACUUCGAGUCAAAAAGGAUAUUGAUCUAAUCUCCAUAGGAGCUUGCACACACAAAGGUGAAAGGUGAGCAUGGAACUACAUAGAGAGCAUGGCUAGCUGUGGAGCUC